rnacentral:rRNA from 1 species
GACGAACGCUGGCGGCGCGCCUAACACAUGCAAGUCGAACGGAGCUGCGAGAAGCUUGCUUUUCUUAGCUUAGUGGCGAACGGGUGAGUAACGCGUGAGUAACCUGCCCUGGAGUGGGGGACAACAGCUGGAAACGACUGCUAAUACCGCAUAAGCCCACGAUCCGGCAUCGGAUUGAGGGAAAAGGAUUUAUUCGCUUCAGGAUGGACUCGCGUCCAAUUAGCUAGUUGGUGAGGUAACGGCCCACCAAGGCGACGAUUGGUAGCCGGACUGAGAGGUUGAACGGCCACAUUGGGACUGAGACACGGCCCAGACUCCUACGGGAGGCAGCAGUGGGGGAUAUUGCACAAUGGGGGAAACCCUGAUGCAGCGACGCCGCGUGGAGGAAGAAGGUUUUCGGAUUGUAAACUCCUGUCGUUAGGGACGAUAAUGACGGUACCUAACAAGAAAGCACCGGCUAACUACGUG